GAUGAACGCUGGCGGCGUGCCUAAUACAUGCAAGUCGAGCGAACGGACGAGAAGCUUGCUUCUCUGAUGUUAGCGGCGGACGGGUGAGUAACACGUGGAUAACCUACCUAUAAGACUGGGAUAACUUCGGGAGACCGGAGCUAAUACCGGAUAAUAUUUUGAACCGCAUGGUUCAAAAGUGAAAGACGGUCUUGCUGUCACUUAUAGAUGGAUCCGCGCUGCAUUAGCUAGUUGGUAAGGUAACGGCUUACCAAGGCAACGAUGCAUAGCCGACCUGAGAGGGUGAUCGGCCACACUGGAACUGAGACACGGUCCAGACUCCUACGGGAGGCAGCAGUAGGGAAUCUUCCGCAAUGGGCGAAAGCCUGACGGAGCAACGCCGCGUGGGUGAUGAAGGUCUUCGGAUCGUAAAACUCUGUUAUUAGGGAAGAACAUAUGUGUAAGUAACUGUGCACAUCUUGACGGUACCUAAUCAGAAAGCCACGGCUAACUACGUGCCAGCAGCCGCGGUAAUACGUAGGUGGCAAGCGUUAUCCGGAAUUAUUGGGCGUAAAGCGCGCGUAGGCGGUUUUUUAAGUCUGAUGUGAAAGCCCACGGCUCAACCGUGGAGGGUCAUUGGAAACUGGAAAACUUGAGUGCAGAAGAGGAAAGUGGAAUUCCAUGUGUAGCGGUGAAAUGCGCAGAGAUAUGGAGGAACACCAGUGGCGAAGGCGACUUUCUGGUCUGUAACUGACGCUGAUGUGCGAAAGCGUGGGGAUCAAACAGGAUUAGAUACCCUGGUAGUCCACGCCAUAAACGAUGAGUGCUAAGUGUUAGGGGGUUUCCGCCCCUUAGUGCUGCAGCUAACGCAUUAAGCACUCCGCCUGGGGAGUACGACCGCAAGGUUGAAACUCAAAGGAAUUGACGGGGACCCGCACAAGCGGUGGAGCAUGUGGUUUAAUUCGAAGCAACGCGAAGAACCUUACCAAAUCUUGACAUCCUUUGACAACUCUAGAGAUAGAGCUUUCCCCUUCGGGGGACAAAGUGACAGGUGGUGCAUGGUUGUCGUCAGCUCGUGUCGUGAGAUGUUGGGUUAAGUCCCGCAACGAGCGCAACCCUUAAGCUUAGUUGCCAUCAUUAAGUUGGGCACUCUAAGUUGACUGCCGGUGACAAACCGGAGGAAGGUGGGGAUGACGUCAAAUCAUCAUGCCCCUUAUGAUUUGGGCUACACACGUGCUACAAUGGACAAUACAAAGGGCAGCGAAACCGCGAGGUCAAGCAAAUCCCAUAAAGUUGUUCUCAGUUCGGAUUGUAGUCUGCAACUCGACUACAUGAAGCUGGAAUCGCUAGUAAUCGUAGAUCAGCAUGCUACGGUGAAUACGUUCCCGGGUCU
rnacentral:rRNA from 1 species